AGAUCGUGUUGGGGGCAACUUCCUAGCAUGCCUUUAUACAUUUCCAUGCUUCAAACAAGGACUCACCAUCAUAUUGGUGGAAAUUUGCUAUCUUUUUAUUGAGCUU